GCUGAAAGUGUGGCAUCACUCCCGAUUCGCGGGAACUUUUUAUUUCCCAAGAAAGAAGAAAAUGUCGAGGGUGCUGCUGGAUAAGUGCAACGUAGACAAGUUCAUCGUUGGAGAGAAUGGGGAGGGGGGGCUCCCCCCCCCAAACGCAAACAAACAAAGGCCAAAAGGCCACAGAAGCGCCGCAAGACUGCGAAGGCGGCAAAUCAGGAGGCGGCUAGCGAGGAGGCGGCCGUCGAUAAGGCUGAUGUAAUAAAUAUCUGAAUAAAUAAAUAUGAAGAAAUAAAAACAUCAAAAGUAAA